AUUGAACGCUGGCGGCAGGCCUAACACAUGCAAGUCGAGCGAGAAAGGUCUUCGGCCUGAGUAGAGCGGCGGACGGGUGAGUAACGCGUAGGAAGCUACCAGGUAGCGGGGGAUAAAUCGGGGAAACUCGAGCUACUACCGCAUACGCCCUGAGGGGGAAAGCGGGGGACCUGAUGGCCUCGCACUAUCGGAUGAGCCUGCGUCGGAUUAGCUAGUUGGUAGGGUAACGGCCUACCAAGGCGACGAUCCGGAGCUGGUCUGAGAGGAUGAGCAGCCACACUGGGACUGAGACACGGCCCAGGCUCCUACGGGAGGCAGCAGUGGGGAAUAUUGGACAAUGGGGGCAACCCUGAUCCAGCCAUGCCGCGUGUGUGAAGAAGGCCUUCGGGUUGUAAAGCACUUUCAGCGGGGAGGAAAGGGCGCUGGUUAAUACCUGGCGCAGUUGACGCUACCCGCAGAAGAAGCACCGGCUAACUCCGUGCCAGCCGCCGCCGUAACAC
rnacentral:rRNA from 1 species